GGCGUGAGUAGAAGCGGUCAGCAGCUCAGGCUGCGGGACAUUGCUCCAGCC
rnacentral:ncRNA from 1 species